GGAGAGAUGGCAGAGUGGUUGAAUGCGACUGUCUUGAAAACAGUUGUCCCUUUACGGGGACCGUGGGUUCGAAUCCCUCUCUCUCCGCCA
rnacentral:tRNA from 1 species